CUACGGGUCGCAGCAGUAAGGAAUAUUGCGCAAUGGAGGCAACUCUGACGCAGCCAUGCCGCGUGCAGGAAGAAGGCCUUAUGGGUCGUAAACUGCUUUUAUUUAGGAAUAAACCCCCGAACGUGUUCGGGGCUGAAGGUACUAAACGAAUAAGCACCGGCUAACUCCGGGCCAGCAGCCGCGGUAAUACGGAGGGUGCAAGCGUUAUCCGGAUUUAUUGGGAUUAAAGGGUGCGCAGGCGGGCUAUUAAGUCAGUGGUGAAAUCCCGGGGCUCAACUCCGGAACUGCCAAUGAUACUGAUAGUCUUGAGUUUGGUUGAAGUGGGCGGAAUGUAGCAUGUAGCGGUGAAAUGCAUAGAUAUGCUACAGAACACCAAUCGCGAAGGCAGCUCACUAAGCCAAAACUGACGCUCAUGCACGAAAGCGUGGGGAUCAAACAGGAUUAGAUACCCGCGUAGUC
rnacentral:rRNA from 1 species